AUUGAUAACCAUAGUGCAGUAGUUCUACCUGACUCCAUACCGAACUCAGAAGUAAAAUGCUGUAACGCCGAUGGUAGUGUGGGGCUUCCCCAUGUGAGAGUAGGGCAUUAUCAAUC
rfam:Haemophilus sputorum HK 2154 ctg120006325154, whole genome shotgun sequence.